AAUUUGAAAAAUAUCACCCGGCAACUCACAACUGGCAACCCACUUAAGCUAAGCAGGUGUGAGCCUGUCCAGUACCCUGAUGGGAGACCUCAUGGGAAAGUUAAGUUUUCUGAUGG
rnacentral:rRNA from 1 species